UUUUAAAUUCCCGAACCCAGCAGCGGAACGGACUGUAACUGAGACAACCCAUCUCUGACUGUGUGUUGACUGUCGAAGGCUUUCCGGCUGAUGUCGGCCGGCAGAAGGGAGCACAGGAGGGCAUCUGGAGUUUGAAUUUCCAGAUUAUAACCGAAUUCUUCCCAGGACCAAUGGCCCACCUGUAACUGCUGGUCCAGACCGAAACCCAAGAGCUGGGCAGGGUGCCCGGGCAGCGGAGCUUUACAGCAGGACCCGACAGAAGGUGGUUUAUCAGAAAGUCUGGAUUGGUGCUGGGCUGCUGUGCAUUUCAGCUGGGUCUGAAUCCACCCCGGGUUACUGAAGAAAAUAGUUAAAAUAUGCAAAGGAGGGUUUUCUCAAAGCUUUUCUGCCUUUUCCAAACACCGUCUGGCCUUAUGGAAGAUACUGUCUCUACCUACAGAGACUUUCUUAAAAAAACACCCAACCUACAAUGAAGAAAAUCCCAAUGUUUCUCUUCAUCACAAGAACAAAACCAGAAGAGCCAAGUGAAAGAGCAGUCACUGCAGAGAACACUGAGCACAAACAUGGUACCUGCUGUCUCUGACAAGGGAUAUAAAGAGCAAAGCUCCUAUUUCGGAUGGAGCGUUGUCUGAACGCUGCAUUUAUCUCAUGGUUUCUCGUGUUGUGCCGUCUGGUGGAUUGCAGUGAACUGGCCUCAUCACAGCACGUGUCAGCACAUCAGGGUACGCCUGGAAUGAUGUUCUCGGUGCGGAGCAGGGGGCUGGAUCCAUUCCUUGGCGCCUGGCUCUACGCUCAAGGACGUCCGAGGUGAAAGGCUUCAUUAUUAUUCUGUCAUUAGCACCGUGAUGCAAUUCCCAGCCCACCGGCAGCUGCCAGAGCGGCGUCACUCCGGGCGCUGCCAGGAAUGGCAAACGCGCGGCGCUGAGGCUGCUCCGCUGCCGGCGGGGCAGGGCUCCUUCCUGCUUCAAAUAUUGAAUUUCUCUGCCAUGUGUUUUCUGGAUCAUUGAAAGAAGGAGCAGAAGGAUGUAAAUACAGGGCGGGGAAUGUGGAAAUAGAUGGUUUGUAACACAUUACAUUGCCCUUUUAUCUCAAAAUUAAAAGCAUUCCCAAACAUUGCUUCACAACAUCUGG
rnacentral:lncRNA from 1 species